GACGAACGCUGGCGGCGUGCUUAACACAUGCAAGUCGAACGAAGUGGCGAACGGGUGAGUAACGCGUAAUCAACCUGCCCUUCAGAGGGGGACAACAGUUGGAAACGACUGCUAAUACCGCAUACGGAAGGCGGGGAUUGCGUCAGAGUAGCUAGUUGGAGGGGUAACGGCCAACCAAGGCGAUGAUCAGUAGGCGGUCUGAGAGGAUGAACGGCCACAUUGGGAAUGGUACACGGCCCAGACUCCUACGUGAGGCAGCAGUGGGGAAUCUUCCGCAAUGGACGAAAGUCUGACGGAGCAACUCCGCGUGAGUGAUGACGGCCUUCGGGUUGUAAAGCUCUGUUAAUCGGGACGCGGUACCGGAAUAGAAAGCCACGGCUAACUACGGGCCAGCAGCCGCGGUAAUAC
rnacentral:rRNA from 1 species